GACAGAGGGUGCAAACGUUGUUCGGAAUUACUGGGAGUAAAGCGCGUGUAGGCGGCCAAGUGUGUCGGAUGUGAAAUCCCGCAGCUCAACUGUGGAAGUGCAUUCGAAACUGCUUGGCUGGAGUUUCGGAGAGGAAGGCGGAAUGCUUGGUGUAGAGGUGAAAUUCGUAGAUAUCAAGCAGAACACCUGUGGCGAAGGCGGCCUUCUGGACGAUGACUGACGCUGAGACGCGAAAGCGUGGGGAGCAAACAGG
rnacentral:rRNA from 1 species